UACGUAGGGUGCAAGCGUUAAUCGGAAUUACUGGGCGUAAAGCGUGCGCAGGCGGUUAUUUAAGACAGAUGUGAAAUCCCCGGGCUCAACCUGGGAACUGCAUUUGUGACUGCAACGCUGGAGUACGGCAGAGGGGGAUGGAAUUCCGCGUGUAGCAGUGAAAUGCGUAGAUAUGCGGAGGAACACCGAUGGCGAAGGCAAUCCCCUGGGCCUGUACUGACGCUCAUGCACGAAAGCGUGGGGAGCAAACAGG
rnacentral:rRNA from 1 species